CGGCGAGUGGGAUUGACAUCACCUGGCCACAGAGAACGUCCCUAGUCUGUUAUUGAGUUCCCAGCUGACCUUCAGCCAUGAAGAUCCUUUAUCUGCUCUUUGCUGUUUUCUUUCUGGUGCUUCAGGGCAUGCCAGAAUUCUCUGAGGCUCAGGAUCCCUUCAAGCUCUGUAAAUACCGAGGGGGUACCUGCUCCUAUAAGAGAUGUUCUUUCAAUUCUAAAGUCGUUGGCAUAUGUGGUGGACGCUUUUUGUGCUGUCGCAGGCGAUUUUUUGACUAAUUGUUUAGGCAGGAUCUCUGGGAAUCCGGCAGCCAGACACUUGUUUCUAAAUUCAUCAGAUCCUGCUUCAAUGGAACCCUGCGGUGGCAUUCAUUUGGACUGGAAAGAACCUCCUGAGCUGGAGAAAUUCCAGAAGGGAGCCUUGUAUCACCCCUAUAAGAUUUGUAACUCUCCUUUUAACAAAAAAAACAUUUGGUUUGAAAUAAUCUUGCUGGUGUGUCGAUGGGAGGCAAGGGGGUCUGUUUCUAUCAUUUGUCAUCCUUACAAAUCCAUCUUGUUUAAUGUUUUAAAAUUUAAAAUAAAAUACCCUGAAAAC